CCUACAUCUUGAAGAGCGAGCGGCCAAGUGCACUGUGCACCAUGUACGUUGUUAUCCCUGGUCUUGAGUUUCCAGACAAACUCCCUUCAAAGCUGCAUUUAGGAGCCCCCUCCAAAUCUGGUGGCAAGCGGCAGCAUCUCGCAGCACUGGUGCAGGAUAUUGGAAACCAACUAUCCAGGCUCCCGCCCCUUCUCUGGAUGUGGAGUCACUACAGCCAACCAGCAGCAGACCUCCCGUCUGCAUUCCUUGUAGAGCCCCUCUCUAAGAGCAUGGAAGAAAGCAAUUCUCCAUACCUGAGGCUUCUUCCUGGGUCGUCCCCGCCCUCUCUUCUCAGACACGUCCUCCUCCUGUUUGGAAGCCAAGGGCUGGCUGGAUUUUGCACUAGAUUCACUCAUCGUCUUUCUUCCAGAGGACAAAAGAAAAGAAGAAGAAAGGGUGGUGAAUGGACUGAUUGCUUCUGGUUCCCAAGGGCAAGAAUUUCAAAGGUUUCCAGCUCAUGUGGUUGUGGAGAAAAACAUGACCUGUGGAGGCUCAGAAACUAGAAGACAAACCCAAAAGAACCCCAGAUUUUAUUAGUUUUUCAACCGAGUUUUUUAACUUGGUCUCAUGGGUUUUGGGGGCCUGACUCAUGAUCUUUGAAUGCCUGGGACAGGCAGUACUACACUAUUCCAUCCAAAGCAAUUGCUGUAUUGUUCACAAUGAUGUUACACAUUUGGGAAUGGGAUGGGAGGCAUCCCUGAGAUUAUCCCUCUGUUAAAAUGUGGUUUCCAGUCAGAGGAAGUAGGAGAGUUCUAGGUUUCUAGGUAGAGCUGACUGGGAACAUUCUAAUGAACCACUUGUUAUUGGAAUUUUCCAAUUUGUUGAAAUGGAAACAGUUUGCAGAGACAGUUCAAUUUUCAUGACGUUCCGACAGAAACCCGCCAGCUUGCCUGUGCAUCUCUGGGGCAGCCUCCGGGCUGCUAGAGAUGCCAGGGCUUCCGGAUGCAGAGCUGUGGGUCAACCCUGGCAUUCAGAGUGCCCUGGGGCAAGGGGCACCAGGGCUUCCAAAUCCGGGGCUCUGGAGUAGCCUGCUGAGUGGGCUGUCCAAGAACCGGGGCUCCAUUCCCAUUUGCAGACAAUUUUGAAAAUUUUAGGGUUUGUUCCAAACUGGAAUGAAACUGAAUUUUGAAAUAUUGAGCUCCUCCCCCAGAUGGAACGACCUUUAUAUUCCCAUCCCUCGGCCUGCUCCGAGAUAGACUCACUCUCGUCUCCCGCUAACAUGAAACCUUUGUCGGGCAGCCUUCUUGGCCACAAAGCACAGGCUGGUGGAAGCAAUGAACCUGCAGCUCCACAUGGUAAAUGCGGACGAUGGAGCCGGAGCUGAACUUCCCCAAAGUUUGAGAUGUGCGCGCCGGUAUGUCGAGGCACAGUGUGUGUGCACAUGUAUGUUGCGGGAGGGGUGUGUGUGCAUGCAUAUUGGUGGCUGCGUGUUCAUUAUCUCACAUGUGGUUCUGGAGCAGACCUGUCUGACAAAGCAGGGGUAGUAAGGACGUUGGGUGGUGAGGCUCACGCGCGCCUUUGGCUCAGUGAAGAUGAGCACCCCCUCUGGAGUCUGUAUCUGAGGCUGCUGCCAUGUGCUUGGAGGCUAGUGAGCUGAUAAGUUGCAUUAAGGACUCCUACUCUUGGAGCUUGGAAUCCAGGCCUGAUACUGAGAUUGGCCUGUCAACCUGAGCCCUUGGGGGGUUAACCACAGCUUGAGUCACAAAGGCAGCAUGGGGGAGACUGAAUCUGCUCUGGGGAGCAAAGUGCUCCAGCAAGAGUAUGGGGGGUGGGAGGGCAGAGCUUGGAGACUGUACACAAGAAUGUACCUGCCAGCCUCCUCCCACUGAACAAAUCCUCCCUCAGCCCCAGCCAGCUGGCACGAGGGAUACGAACAAAGAGUUGUAAAAAGGCCAGAGAGGAAAAUUAUUAACGUGGGGAAUGCUGCUAAGGAGGAAUGCAAAGAGACAAUUAAUUGAGGACUCAGUGCUUGGCUCAGAGGUCUUCUCUUGCAAAUGGAGCAUCCAAACUAAGCUGCAGGAAAAAUAUUGUAGCAAUUCCAUGAGCGCCUACAACAUCAUCUCUCUCAUUGUGCUGCUUGCCACAGCCACAGGGAACUUCGCAGUAGCAGGGAUACUGCACAGAUGGUCCUGUUCUGAGAGCACUGGCCUUUACCCUUUGUGCUGACAGAGAAUCUCCAUUAGCAGUAUAAGGCCUAUGAUACAUAGCUGAGCAGUUCUGACUCCACCCAGUAGAGGGCAAGACACACACACACACACGCGCGCAUGCACACGCUAGCCAGCUCAUUAUCUGUCAUCACAUUCAAAUAUGCAAAUCGAUUUUACAGUUUCCAAUGAGCUGUGCAGCAUUUUUAUUUAUCCAGCACCUAACAUUCGUUAGUGCUUUAGAGGUAAACAAAGAAACAAGGCUCCUGCUUUAAGGAGCUUGCCAUGAAAAUAUCAGCUGAUGGCACUUCUGGAUCUGAUUCUCCCUGGCCAUGCAUUAUGGGCAGCCAUUUUUAUCCUUGCAAAGUAGGUGUAAAAAGCAUUCUCCACUCAUGGUGGUGGGACUGUUUUGAAACCCUUGCCCGGGUGUAAAUUACGCCAGUGUGCAAAGCAGUGAAGAAUCAGGCCCACUGGCAAUAGCAAUAGAAAAAAGCUUGUGGAAUAUUUGAGCGGCUGCUUGUGUUUCUGUGAAGCAUUUUCAGCUUCUAGCUGGAUUCCUGCAGCUGCUCUGUUUUGGGUCAAUGCCCCCCCCUCGCCCCCAGCCACCCCCGGGCUUUUGGUCUCCGCUAGUCGCACAAGUUCACUGUGGCAAAGGGGAAUAACUCAGGCAAACAGAGAGCUUGUCCCAGCGCCAAGAAAACAUUCUUCCAGGCCAAAUUCCUUGACACUUUCCCUUUUACUCAGCUCCGGUUUGAAAAGUACCCUGGUGGAGGGACUUCCCUUCUGUGAGUCACCCCUUGGUCAUGAGGGGUGACUCAGCACUCAGACACGAGGCCAGCCACUGGCCUGGGACUCCUGCAGGAAACUGGAAGGAAGGCGACUGGAGAACAAAUGCUCAGAGGAGGCGAGGCGGGAAUGGAGGUGGCGGGGGUGUAUGUGUGUGUGGGGGGGAGAAUUACAGGUGAUAGGCAGGAAAAGGGCAGAAUGAGAGAUGGGGAUAAUGCCAGGGGAAGAGAAGGAGCAAAGGGUAUUAAAAGAGAUAGAA